UUAAGAAAAAUCAAUUGCUUAGUUUUAUUCAUACGGCUAUGCUACUACCUGUUUGAUACGCAGCCAGCAAGGAAAAGUUUGGCCAAAAGUGUAGUAGAGAUUAAACAAAAAAAAUGAAAUGGACAACAAAAUUGGAAAAGCUUUGGAGCGGUUGCUGACUGAGGUUAUUACUUAGCACAAGAGUUUUGGAACUUCGUAAAGGAAUUGGCAAGCUGCUAUGAAAAACACCAAAAUAUGAACUGAUUAAAAUCAACAUUGUUAAUGUCGACAAAUUCGUCAAAACUUACUGACGGAGGGUUAUUACGGUCGGUAUUUGGAAGGCUACCAAUACAAAAAGAAUGCGUAAUCGGA